UACGGAGGGUGCAAGCGUUGUUCGGAAUCACUGGGCGUAAAGGGUUCGUAGGUGGCUCGCUAAGUCAGACGUGAAAUCCCUCAGCUUAACUGGGGAACUGCGUCUGAGACUGAUGAGCUCGAGUGCAGGAGAGGAACGCGGAAUUCCAGGUGUAGCGGUGAAAUGCGUAGAUAUCUGGAGGAACACCGGUGGCGAAGGCGGGUCUCUGGGCCGAUACUGACGCUGAGGAGCGAAAGCGUGGGGAGCGAACAGG
rnacentral:rRNA from 1 species